GUGGGGAAUAUUGCACAAUGGGGGAAACCCUGAUGCAGCAACGCCGCGUGGGUGAAGAAGUAUUUCGGUAUGUAAAGCCCUAUCAGCAGGGAAGAAAAUGACAGUACCUGACUAAGAAGCCCCGGCUAACUACGUGCCAGCAGCCGCGGUAAUACGUAGGGGGCAAGCGUUAUCCGGAUUUACUGGGUGUAAAGGGAGCGUAGACGGCCAUGCAAGUCAGAAGUGAAAGCCCGGGGCUCAACCGCGGGACUGCUUUUGAAACUGUGUAGCUAGAGUGCAGGAGAGGUAAGUGGAAUUCCUAGUGUAGCGGUGAAAUGCGUAGAUAUUAGGAGGAACACCGGUGGCGAAGGCGGCUUACUGGACUGUAACUGACGUUGAGGCUCGAAAGCGUGGGGAGCAAACAGG
rnacentral:rRNA from 1 species